rnacentral:rRNA from 1 species
AUGAUCUGUAUUACCAGCUUCGUCAUGGAAGGAAUGGACGGCUACUUGCCAAAUAUAAUCCAGGAUGAUUAUCAUGCAUCCUCAGAUGCCUGCUCAUUGUCAGCUUGCAUGUGUACAUGGGACAAAGUCAGUUUUUAUCUGACAAAGAUAUCGGAGAGUGCUUUAUUUCUGAUACAGCUUCAGCGCACACGGAGAUUGGGCGAAACAGCACGCCCCCCUCUUGUGCUGGCCACGCCUCUCCGGAUCCUCGGGCCUCACCUCCGGACCGCUGCUGACGGCAAAGGCAAAAACGAGGAGCGUGAUGAGCAUUUCGCCGGCGUGGCGAAGAGGUACAAAGCAAGGAGCUGGCGGCGGCUCCAUCAUGCGCCGACGAAUCCUGCCAGGAGGAUGAGACCACCCAUGAUGGAGGGGCCACGCGCGCGUAAGCGAACCAGAUCCCCGAGGCUUACGGGGACGGCUCACAUGCCAGUGUCCGGUAUGUUGUUUCUCAUGGCUCACCCCACCCAUGGCUGGAUGCUCAAGCUGUGCCGCCGCUGCUUUCCAUAUGCUUGUGUUGUUUCUGUGUCUACUGUGGGUUCAGCGCGGAUCUGA